rnacentral:rRNA from 1 species
CUGGAGGUAUCAGAAGUGCGAAUGCUGACAUAAGUAACGAUAAAGCGGGUGAAAAGCCCGCUCGCCGGAAGACCAAGGGUUCCUGUCCAACGUUAAUCGGGGCAGGGUGAGUCGACCCCUAAGGCGAGGCCGAAAGGCGUAGUCGAUGGGAAACAGGUUAAUAUUCCUGUACUUGGUGUUACUGCGAAGGGGGGACGGAGAAGGCUAUGUUGGCCGGGCGACGGUUGUCCCGGUUUAAGCGUGUAGGCUGGUUUUCCAGGCAAAUCCGGAAAAUCAAGGCUGAGGCGUGAUGACGAGGCACUACGGUGCUGAAGCAACAAAUGCCCUGCUUCCAGGAAAAGCCUCUAAGCAUCAGGUAACAUCAAAUCGUACCCCAAACCGACACAGGUGGUCAGGUAGAGAAUACCAAGGCGCUUGAGAGAACUCGGGUGAAGGAACUAGGCAAAAUGGUGCCGUAACUUCGGGAGAAGGCACGCUGAUAUGUAGGUGAAGUCCCUCGCGGAUGGAGCUGAAAUCAGUCGAAGAUACCAGCUGGCUGCAACUGUUUAUUAAAAACACAGCACUGUGCAAACACGAAAGUGGACGUAUACGGUGUGACGCCUGCCCGGUACCGGAAGGUUAAUUGAUGGGGUUAGCCGCAAGGCGAAGCUCUUGAUCGAAGCCCCGGUAAACGGCGGCCGUAACUAUAACGGUCCUAAGGUAGCGAAAUUCCUUGUCGGGUAAGUUCCGACCUGCACGAAUGGCGUAAUGAUGGCCAGGCUGUCUCCACCCGAGACUCAGUGAAAUUGAACUCGCUGUGAAGAUGCAGUGUACCCGCGGCAAGACGGAAAGACCCCGUGAACCUUUACUAUAGCUUGACACUGAACAUUGAGCCUUGAUGUGUAGGAUAGGUGGGAGGCUUAGAAGUGUGGACGCCAGUCUGCAUGGAGCCGACCUUGAAAUACCACCCUUUAAUGUUUGAUGUUCUAACGUUGACCCGUAAUCCGGGUUGCGGACAGUGUCUGGUGGGUAGUUUGACUGGGGCGGUCUCCUCCUAAAGAGUAACGGAGGAGCACGAAGGUUGGCUAAUCCUGGUCGGACAUCAGGAGGUUAGUGCAAUGGCAUAAGCCAGCUUGACUGCGAGCGUGACGGCGCGAGCAGGUGCGAAAGCAGGUCAUAGUGAUCCGGUGGUUCUGAAUGGAAGGGCCAUCGCUCAACGGAUAAAAGGUACUCCGGGGAUAACAGGCUGAUACCGCCCAAGAGUUCAUAUCGACGGCGGUGUUUGGCACCUCGAUGUCGGCUCAUCACAUCCUGGGGCUGAAGUAGGUCCCAAGGGUAUGGCUGUUCGCCAUUUAAAGUGGUACGCGAGCUGGGUUUAGAACGUCGUGAGACAGUUCGGUCCCUAUCUGCCGUGGGCGCUGGAGAACUGAGGGGGGCUGCUCCUAGUACGAGAGGACCGGAGUGGACGCAUCACUGGUGUUCGGGUUGUCAUGCCAAUGGCACUGCCCGGUAGCUAAAUGCGGAAGAGAUAAGUGCUGAAAGCAUCUAAGCACGAAACUUGCC